rnacentral:rRNA from 1 species
UACGUAGGUCGCAAGCGUUGUCCGGAUUUACUGGGCGUAAAGAGCGCGCAGGCGGCUGGUCAAGUCCGAUGUGAAAUCUCCCGGCUCAACUGGGAAACUGCAUCGGAAACUGAUCGGCUUGAAGAUGGGAGAGGGUAGUGGAAUUCCCGGUGUAGUGGUGAAAUGCGUAGAUAUCGGGAAGAACACCCGUGGCGAAGGCGGCUCUCUGGAACGCAACCGACGCUGAGACGCGAAAGCGUGGGGAGCAAACAGG